GGUCCUGUCUUUUUCCUGUUUUGAGAUAACAUCCUGUUUGUGAAGUACCUUCUUCAUGGAAAUUAAAAUUGAUAAUAAUUUUUGCUCUGGCUCACAGGGGAGAAAUUUGCCUGAAUUCAGUGACACUUCAGUUUCCUUGUUCGGGAUGUGCCAAUGAACGUGGUGGGAGCUGUGAAUCAAAGGCAGCCAAAAGAGGUGGAAUAGACUGAAAUAAUUUAAAAGUAUAAGUACUACGCUUGACAUCAUGAAUUGUGAAAGAAAAUCGCUUCUGAAAACCGAUCUGAGUUCUUGAAAAGAUGCACCUUUUCCUUUCAACCCGUAAACCAGACUUAAAGCUGUUUACUAAGAAGAGAGCACCACCUUGUGUUAAUCGACCUGUGUUGUGAUUAGGAGCUUUUUUGAAAGGAAUUUAGCUCUUCCACCAUGGAAAUGAGCCUGGAGAAAAGUAUCACCAUAUGAUGGAGCCAGUGGAAAAUGAAGAAUAAAUCUCUGCAUUUUUAAGUUUCAAAUGUCUGACUCUAAACUUAAAUCGGGUUGUAAGUAAGUGGGGAAAUAAAAAACCAAGGAAAAAUAUGCCUCUGAAGAAAAAGAACUUAAAGCUGAACUCUGAAGAGGAGUUUAAUGUAUUUGCAUUAAAACUA